GAACGAUGAUGCCCAGCUUGCUGGGCGGAUUAGUGGCGAACGGGUGAGUAAUACGUGAGUAACCUGCCCUUGACUCUGGGAUAAGCCUGGGAAACUGGGUCUAAUACUGGAUACUACCUCUUACCGCAUGGUGGGUGGUGGAAAGGGUUUUACUGGUUUUGGAUGGGCUCACGGCCUAUCAGCUUGUUGGUGGGGUAAUGGCUCACCAAGGCGACGACGGGUAGCCGGCCUGAGAGGGUGACCGGCCACACUGGGACUGAGACACGGCCCAGACUCCUACGGGAGGCAGCAGUGGGGAAUAUUGCACAAUGGGCGGAAGCCUGAUGCAGCGACGCCGCGUGAGGGAUGACGGCCUUCGGGUUGUAAACCUCUUUCAGUAGGGAAGAAGCGAGAGUGACGGUACCUGCAGAAGAAGCGCCGGCUAACUACGUGCCAGCAGCCGCGGUAAUACGUAGGGCGCAAGCGUUGUCCGGAAUUAUUGGGCGUAAAGAGCUCGUAGGCGGUUUGUCGCGUCUGCUGUGAAAGCCCGGGGCUCAACCCCGGGUCUGCAGUGGGUACGGGCAGACUAGAGUGCAGUAGGGGAGACUGGAAUUCCUGGUGUAGCGGUGAAAUGCGCAGAUAUCAGGAGGAACACCGAUGGCGAAGGCAGGUCUCUGGGCUGUUACUGACGCUGAGGAGCGAAAGCAUGGGGAGCGAACAGGAUUAGAUACCCUGGUAGUCCAUGCCGUAAACGUUGGGCACUAGGUGUGGGGGACAUUCCACGUUUUCCGCGCCGUAGCUAACGCAUUAAGUGCCCCGCCUGGGGAGUACGGCCGCAAGGCUAAAACUCAAAGGAAUUGACGGGGGCCCGCACAAGCGGCGGAGCAUGCGGAUUAAUUCGAUGCAACGCGAAGAACCUUACCAAGGCUUGACAUUCACCGGACCGCCCCAGAGAUGGGGUUUCCCUUCGGGGCUGGUGGACAGGUGGUGCAUGGUUGUCGUCAGCUCGUGUCGUGAGAUGUU
rnacentral:rRNA from 1 species